GUAAGGGGAGAGAGUGGGGCGAAUUGUGGUGCGGAGACAUAACAGCGAAAAAAAAUUUUUCGUAAAGUUAGUGAUCAGAGAGACCUUGGCUCCGUAAGUUGGAGAAAAUUGCAAGCGUGUUGAUCGCUUGCAAUCGCUUGUUGUGAGUCGACGUCAAAUUUUGCUCUACGCCCGAUUGGGCGGUUGGUACAUAAUUAGUUUCUGCACAUAGAGAAUUGCUCGACGCACACUUUUGGCGAUUCGCGCUUUCAAUAUAUUUUCCCGAGACCGACCUGCAUCCGUUGUGGAUUAGGCCUAUACACAAAAAGGAUUUCAAUUAAUUAACAACUCAAAAUCUGAAGAGAUUAAAUUGACAAUUUGGAGUGAUCCGGAUACUUUCUGACAUACGGCCUUGAGGUCUCUGGACAGCGCCGGCACCAAGAAUAAUAUACAACAAAAAAAACGUGGUAACUUACGACGAACAUUGUAUGACGACGGUGAGUCACGCAACCGAUUAACUAAUGUUCUCUCUGAUCACAAUAUUUUGAAUCUUUAUUAUUAAACAUAUCGCAGUAUAAUUUUUUUUUUUUUAUAAAUAUUUGUAUCUAUGUGUAAGAAUGUGUAUGUGUAUAGUGUGAUUUCGAAAUAUAUAGUCGAUUAAUUCAUUGGAUGGAGAGUAUAAUUAAAAUUUUACGAAUUGUUAUAACAAUUGAUAUUGACAUAUUUUUUAAUACUCGCAAAUAAAUGUAAAAUUUAUACAUA